GGGGGCGAAUCGGGUUCGACGGGGAUGGAAAGUCGAAGCGGCAUGCCGGGGUCCUGUUGGCCCGUUAAACAAACAGGUCUGCAAAUUAAACGCAGAUAAUUUUGAGUACAAACUGGCUGCCUAAUCGCAGCUAGCGUCCUACCAGUCUUCUCCUGCGGGGUUGGAUAGGGCGUCGAUUAGCGGGAUAGGCUGAUUCUCCUGCCGGAGGGGAUGAGGCCGAGAUUCAAACCGGAUGGCUCGUCAAGACCCUGCCGUUGGGGGCUUGGCGGGCGAGAUCAAAGCAGCGGCUAAGCAUGUAGUCGUAUUCGGUGGAACAUCUUCGGACGGGGGUUCAAUUCCCCCCGCC
rnacentral:tmRNA from 1 species